UUGGGUGUUUUUCCGCCAACGUAAAGAUAGAGCUUCACGACGGACGGAUUUGAGAUGGGUAUUUGAGAUUAAGGGCUUUAAGCUUGGCCUCUAUUUCGGCCGAUAGGGAGAGGCAGAGCUACGAAACGGCGAGUUAGACAGACGGCGAAGGCCGGAGAUUGAGACGGGAAGAGGCCGGAGAGUCGAGAGGCAAGAAGAGGCUGAGGAAUCGGGAAUGGAAGGGGGCAAGGGGC
rnacentral:lncRNA from 1 species